UGAGGACCACAGACCAGCAGGACUCUGGUCCAAAACUGCAGGAACUUUUUUUUGUUUUUGCAGUUUAUGUUGUUUUUGCAGCUGCUGACACGCGACGUUUGAGGAUAAAUCAAACGUUACUUCACUAACCUCGAGGCUCUUGGGUAUUUUCCAGAUCAUCAGUUCUUCAAGACUAUUUUUGGCUCUACCAUGACGCAUGCUGAGUCUCAUGAAGUCAACAUGACGUCCUAAAAUCGCCAUCUUUGUUCGGAGAUAGAGGAGGGGCAAACCACUGACAGUAAGAUGAGU